GGCUAUUGCUACUCUGAACACGGGACAGAACUGUCAAGAAAACUAAAGGCGUCGAUUCUAUAAACUGUUACAACAAAUAUAAUUUAUCCGUAUAAUUUUCACACGAAUAUGUAAUAAUACUCGGCCUGCUUCGAAUGAAAGUCACUAAAUUUUACUUAACACGAGAAUCUUGCGGUAAACAAACUCAAUGCAAUCUCGACGUAAUGUGCAUCACGAGCCUCGCGGCCAUCACUAAUUUCAACUGGCACUGUUAGUGGCGCCAUCGCCUCUUUAGACGGAAGAACAAGGAACUGGACUAUUGCGCGCGCGAUAGUCGCGAAUAAUGGCGAAAUAUGUAAUCCAAUGCCAUCAUUGCCAGGUGGUCCUAUUAACAUAAAAUGCAUAAAAAAAAAAAAUGCUAAAUUUAUCAAGAUAAUGAUAGAAAAGAGUUUAUGUAUUACCAGGCGGUCCUCUUGGACCCAUAGAACCUUCUACACCAACACCUUCCGGACCUCUAUCACCCUUUUCUCCCCGUUCACCAGGUGGACCUUGAGGUCCUAUAUGACCUUGUGGUCCUGGUAAACCAACAAAACCACGUUCCCCAGGCAAACCUGGAAGACCUGGAUCACCUAAGAAUAAUUUUCCAUUAUAAAUGAAUUCUAAUCUUAAGGUAAAAAAUAUAUUAUUAAGAU